rnacentral:rRNA from 1 species
AUACGUAGGGUGCAAGCGUUAAUCGGAAUUACUGGGCGUAAAGCGUGCGCAGGCGGUUUUGUAAGACAGUGGUGAAAUCCCCGGGCUCAACCUGGGAACUGCCAUUGUGACUGCAAGGCUGGAGUGCGGCAGAGGGGGAUGGAAUUCCGCGUGUAGCAGUGAAAUGCGUAGAUAUGCGGAGGAACACCGAUGGCGAAGGCAAUCCCCUGGGCCUGCACUGACGCUCAUGCACGAAAGCGUGGGGAGCAAACAGGAUUAGAUACCCUGGUAGUCCCCGCCCUAAACGAUGUCAACUGGUUGUUGGGGAUUUAUUUUCUCAGUAACGAAGCUAACGCGUGAAGUUGACCGCCUGGGGAGUACGGCCGCAAGGUUAAAACUCAAAUGAAUUGACGGGG